GACGAACGCUGGCGGCGUGCCUAAUACAUGCAAGUAGAACGCACAGUUUAUACCGUAGCUUGCUACACCAUAAACUGUGAGUUGCGAACGGGUGAGUAACGCGUAGGUAACCUGCCUGGUAGCGGGGGAUAACUAUUGGAAACGAUAGCUAAUACCGCAUAAUAUUAAUUAUUGCAUGAUAAUUGAUUGAAAGAUGCAAUUGCAUCACUACCAGAUGGACCUGCGUUGUAUUAGCUAGUAGGUGAGGUAACGGCUCACCUAGGCGACGAUACAUAGCCGACCUGAGAGGGUGAGCGGCCACACUGGGACUGAGACACGGCCCAGACUCCUACGGGAGGCAGCAGUAGGGAAUCUUCGGCAAUGGACGAAAGUCUGACCGAGCAACGCCGCGUGAGUGAAGAAGGGUUUCGGAUCGUAAAGCUCUGUUGUAAGAGAAGAAAGGGUGUGAGAGUGGAAAGUUCACACUGUGACGGUAUCUUACCAGAAAGGGACGGCUAACUACGUG
rnacentral:rRNA from 1 species